AAUCAACGCUGGCGGCGUGCCUCAGACAUGCAAGUCGAACGCGAAAUUUCCCUUCGGGGAGAAAGUAGAGUGGCGCACGGGUGAGUAACACGUAGGUAAUUUGCCUUUGGGUGGGGAAUAACUCAGGGAAACUUGAGCUAAUACCGCAUAAUGCAGCGGCUCGACAUCGAGACAGUUGUUAAAGCGGGGGAGUCGCAAGACCUCGCGCCUGAAGAGAAGCCCGCGGCAGAUUAGCUAGUUGGUAAGGUAAUGGCUUACCAAGGCAACGAUCUGUAGCCGGCCUGAGAGGGGCGGUCGGCCACACUGACACUGAAUAACGGGUCAGACUCCUACGGGAGGCAGCAGUCGGGAA
rnacentral:rRNA from 1 species